GGAAAAGUGGCAGAAUGGUUAUUGCGUUUGUUUUGAAAACAAUAAUUAGUUAUAAUUUGUGGGUUCAAGUCCUAUCUUUUCCU
rnacentral:tRNA from 1 species